ACGCUCGACACCUAAGGCAGCAGUGGGGAAUAUUGCACAAUGGGGGAAACCCUGAUGCAGCGACGCCGCGUGGAGGAAGAAGGUCUUCGGAUUGUAAACUCCUGUUGUUGGGGAAAAAGAGGAUGGUACCCAACAAGGAAGUGACGGCUAACUACGUGCCAACAGCCGCGGUAAUCUGAGCGGGCUGGCAAGGC
rnacentral:rRNA from 1 species